rnacentral:rRNA from 1 species
UACAUGGGGUGCAAACGUUGUUCGGAAUUACUGGGCGUAAAGGGCGCGUAGGCGGCUUGGCAAGUGGAUGGUGAAAUCCCUCGGCUUAACCGAGGAACUGCCGUCCAAACUGCUUCGCUUGAGACCGGGAGAGGUGAGUGGAAUUCCCAGUGUAGCGGUGAAAUGCGUAGAUAUUGGGAGGAACACCAGUGGCGAAGGCGGCUCACUGGACCGGUACUGACGCUGAUGCGCGAAAGCGUGGGGAGCAAACGGG